AGAGUUUGAUCCUGGCUCAGGAUGAACGCUGGCUGUGUGCCUAAUACAUGCAUGUUGAACGAAGCUAAAAGUGCUUGCACUUUAAGACUUAGUAGCGAAUGGGUGAGUAACACGUACUUAACCUACCCCCAAGUUUGGGAUAACGUUUGGAAACGAACGCUAAUACCGAAUACGUAUUUUUAUCGCAUGAUAGAAAUAUAAAAGGAGCUUCGGCUUCGCUAGGGGAUGGGAGUGCGCUACAUUAGUUAGUUGGUAGGGUAAUGGCCUACCAAGACUAUGAUGUAUAGCGGGGCCGAGAGGCUGAUCCGCCACACUGGGACUGAGAUACGGCCCAGACUCCUACGGGAGGCAGCAGUAGGGAAUUUUCCACAAUGAACGAAAGUUUGAUGGAGCGACACAGCGUGCAGGAUGAAGGUCUUCGGAUCGUAAACUGCUGUUAUAGGGGAAGAAAAACUUUAGUAGGUAAUGACUAGAACUUGACGGUACCUUAUCAGAAAGCGACGGCUAACUAUGUGCCAGCAGCCGCGGUAAU
rnacentral:rRNA from 1 species